CCUCCCCUUGCACCGGACGUGGACCCAGGCUGCCGUUGGGCAAGAUAGAGGACUGAGCCAAGGCACAAACGGCUGGCCAGAAAAGGCUGGCCAGCCUCUGGUCCGGUACCAGGCAAGUGAUUGGAGUCCCUUUCCAGUUUGGAAACAUCUGGGCAGGCCCAGCUGGUAAGGUUACUUUUCUACUUUGAACAAGCAAACAAGCCAACAGAAGAGAAGUUUCACAAGCAACUCCCAGCACAUCCGCUCACCUAGUGUUGUCUGUGACCUCACUCUCGGUGCCCCACCUCUUAUUACAGGUGACAUCGAAAGCCAAUUCCUCGAAAAGUCCCCAGGGCCCCAUCCCUCCCAUCUUCUCUGGGUUGUCACUCCCAAAACCAUCCUCUCUUUCACUACCUCAUCUAUUUUGUUCUGCUAGUUGGCUCCCAUCAGUAUAUAAACGUCCAUCUUCUUAAAAGAAACAAACAGCACUC